rnacentral:rRNA from 1 species
UACUAGAGUAGCACUCGCAUAUCAAUAAGCGGAGGAAAAGAAACUAACAAGGAUUCCCCUAGUAACGGCGAGUGAAGCGGGAAGAGCUCAAAUUUGAAAUCUUAAAGGGUUUCCCUUUACGAAUUGUAGUUUAAAGAAGUGUUUUCUGUUGAGGUUUUGGUAAAAGUUCUUUGGAAUAGGACAUCAUAGAGGGUGAGAAUCCCGUAUUUGACCUUUACUUUCAACUUUGUGAUACACUUUCAAAGAGUCGGAUUGUUUGGGAAUGCAGUCCAAAAUGGGUGGUAAAUUUCAUCUAAAGCUAAAUAUUGGCGAGAGACCGAUAGCGAACAAGUACCGUGAGGGAAAGAUGAAAAGAACUUUGAAAAGAGAGUUAAACAGUACGUGAAAUUGUCAAAAGGGAAGCGUUUGACACCAGUGUUGUUUUUCUGAAAAUCAAUUAAAGAACUGUUUAUGCUAAGCUGUUUAGACUUUAUCAGCUAUCUGUUUAGUUUUGAGCUUUUCUUUAAUGCACUUUUCAGUUAACAAGUCAACAUCAAUUUCUUUUGCUGUAAAAAAGCUUGAGGAAGGUGGCUUGAGAUUCGUCUUAAGUGUUUAUAGCCUCUUGCCUAUGCAGUCGGAGAGAUUGAGGUCUGCAGCGUAGAUCCUUCGGGGCUAAAUGCAUUUGUGCUAAGUUAUAGCAUUUUAUAGACAACUUGUUGACUAUGAUUUGUCUUGUAGCUUACUCGCUUAUGUUAUUUUACCUACGCUUAGGAUGUUGAUCUACAGAGCGAGAGU